GACGAACGCUGGCGGCGUGCUUAACACAUGCAAGUCGAACGAAGUGGCGAACGGGUGAGUAACGCGUAAUCAACCUGCCCUUCAGAGGGGGACAACAGGUGGAAAAGACUGCUAAUACCGCAUACUGAAGGAGGGGAUUGCGUGUGAUUGGCUAGUUGGAGGGGUAACGGCCCCCCAAGGCGAUGAUCAGUAGCCGGGUUGAGGCGGUGAACGAGCAAAUUGGGACUGGGGCACGGGCCAGACUGCUACGGGAGGCAGCAGGGGGGAAACUUCCGCAAUGGAGGAAAGGCUGACGGAGCAAAGCCGGGGGAGUGAUGACGGCCCUCGGGUUGUAAAGCUCUGGUAAGCGGGACGCGGUACCGGAAUAGAAAGCAACGGCUAACUCCGUGCCAGCCGCCGCGGUAAUAC
rnacentral:rRNA from 1 species